rnacentral:rRNA from 1 species
UACGAAGGGGGCUAGCGUUGUUCGGAGUUACUGGGCGUAAAGGGCGCGUAGGCGGCGCACCAAGUCAGGCGUGAAAGCCCUGGGCUCAACCCGGGAAUUGCGCUUGAGACUGGUGUGCUUGAGUACGGGAGAGGAUAGUGGAAUUCCCAGUGUAGAGGUGAAAUUCGUAGAUAUUCGCAAGAACACCAGUGGCGAAGGCGGCUCACUGGCCCGAUACUGACGCUGAGGCACGAAAGCGUGGGGAGCAAACGGG